rnacentral:rRNA from 1 species
UGCUUUCUUGCUGACGAGUGGCGGACGGGUGAGUAAUGCUUGGGAAUCUGGCUUAUGGAGGGGGAUAACGACGGGAAACUGUCGCUAAUACCGCGUAUUAUCGGAAGAUGAAAGUGCGGGACUGAGAGGCCGCAUGCCAUAGGAUGAGCCCAAGUGGGAUUAGGUAGUUGGUGGGGUAAAGGCCUACCAAGCCUGCGAUCUCUAGCUGGUCUGAGAGGAUGACCAGCCACACUGGAACUGAGACACGGUCCAGACUCCUACGGGAGGCAGCAGUGGGGAAUAUUGCGCAAUGGGGGGAACCCUGACGCAGCCAUGCCGCGUGAAUGAAGAAGGCCUUAGGGUUGUAAAGUUCUUUCGGUAUUGAGGAAGGUUGAUGUGUUAAUAGCACAUCAAAUUGACGUUAAAUACAGAAGAAGCACCGGCUAACUCCGUGCCAGCAGCCGCGGUAAUACGGAGGGUGCGAGCGUUAAUCGGAAUAACUGGGCGUAAAGGGCACGCAGGCGGUUAUUUAAGUGAGGUGUGAAAGCCCCGGGCUUAACCUGGGAAUUGCAUUUCAGACUGGGUAACUAGAGUACUUUAGGGAGGGGUAGAAUUCCACGUGUAGCGGUGAAAUGCGUAGAGAUGUGGAGGAAUACCGAAGGCGAAGGCAGCCCCUUGGGAAUGUACUGACGCUCAUGUGCGAAAGCGUGGGGAGCAAACAGGAUUAGAUACCCUGGUAGUCCACGCUGUAAACGCUGUCGAUUUGGGGGUUGGGGUUUAA